UCACAAUAAAUCCAUCUGCUAAUGUUGCUGCCAGAUCAGAACAUAAGGAAAGUAGACCCUUUAAUAAUGGAGGCUUGAGAGGUGGAAACCAGAGAAGCACAAAAGGAGGAUGAGGUAGAGGCCAUUUCUACAGAGACAAGCCAAAAUGUCAGGUUUGUGGCAAGACAUGACGUGUAGUUGUGCACUGUUAUUAUGGCUUUGAAAAAGCCUGUGUGGAAAGACACUAUGACAUGUAGUUGUGAACUUCAUGCAAAACAUUGUUGUGUGAAGGAGAAGAUGAUAGGAAAGACGCUAUUGGAAGGGAAACUUAAAGAUGGGUUUCCUGAUGUCAUUUCAUUUCCCAAGGAACCAAGUGUUUA
rnacentral:lncRNA from 1 species